AUUCCAGAACAUAUGAAUUCAAGAACUGAAGUCUGCGUAUUAAAUUGAUGUCAUAAUAAAUAAAGAACAUAUUUUUUAGUAUCACUUAAAUAUUCUUUACAUCCAAAGGAUCAUUUUUGUUAAUGAAUAUAUUUAGAAGAUCCGAGGGAAAAAAAAAAAGAAGAAUCAUUGCCCCACUUUAUAUUUGGAUUUCUUGGUAAAGUACUUACAUAAAAAGCAAAUCUUAACUUGCCUACACCAAUGAUGAAGUAUAAUGUCAUGUGAGCCUACUUUUGAAGCAAUCUAUGUAAAACUUGUGCUUAAAAAUGUCUUACAGGUCAUCCAGGAUCCUGGUUUCAAAGAAACUCUAACAAAUGUAUCAAACCUAACAUCAGUAACUACUAUCAGAAGAGAAAGCCCUUCAGAUACUGCUCAGGGACAGUUUUUAGUCACUUUUGAAGGCACAAAUACCUUUUCUCCAUGCUUUAAUAUGCCCAAGCAAGAGAUGGUGACGAGGAUUGUUAUCUUCACCAUGAAGUUAGGGAAUUUACAACUACUCCCAUACAGUAUUCACAAUCUCCACUUUUCCAAGGAAAACAACUUUUGCUGUUGCCAAAUAAACUAUUUUGUUCAGCUGGUGGAAAGAUACAAUGUUUAUUCUGAUAAACCAGGAGUCUAUGGAACCUCACAAUGCUCAUUCUGCAAGACUCUGUUAAACAUCAUCCAAGAAGAGGAUGUGAAAUAAUGAACCAGUCUAAUAAUGUCAACUCACUUCCACGUUUG
rnacentral:lncRNA from 12 species